AACGAACGCUGGCGGCAGGCUUAACACAUGCAAGUCGAACGCCCCGCAAGGGGAGUGGCAGACGGGUGAGUAACGCGUGGGAAUCUACCGUACCCUACGGAACAACAGUUGGAAACGACUGCUAAUACCGUAUACGCCCUUAGGGGGAAAGAUUUAUCGGGGUAUGAUGAGCCCGCGUUGGAUUAGCUAGUUGGUAGGGUAAAGGCCCACCAAGGCGACGAUCCAUAGCUGGUCUGAGAGGAUGAUCAGCCACAUUGGGACUGAGACACGGCCCAAACUCCUGCGGGAGGCAGCAGUGGGGAAUAUUGGACAAUGGGCGCAAGCCUGAUCCAGCCAUGCCGCGUGAGUGAUGAAGGUCUUAGGAUUGUAAAGCUCUUUCACCGAUGAAGAUAAUGACGGUAGUCGGAGAAGAAGCCCCGGCUAACUUCGUGCCAGCCGCCGCAGUAA
rnacentral:rRNA from 1 species